UACGGGGGGAGCAAGCGUUGUUCGGAUUUACUGGGCGUAAAGGGCGCGUAGGCGGCCAGCACAAGUCAGUUGUGAAAUCUCCGAGCUUAACUCGGAAAGGUCAACUGAUACUGUGCGGCUAGAGUGCGGAAGGGGCAACUGGAAUUCUUGGUGUAGCGGUGAAAUGCGUAGAUAUCGAGAGGAACACCUGCGGCGAAGGCGGGUUGCUGGGCUGACACUGACGCUGAGGCGCGAAAGCUAGGGGAGCGAACGGG
rnacentral:rRNA from 1 species